CUCAUUUAAUAAAAGAAUCACAAGUAGGACAGAUUAGUCAAGCCAGCCCUCUCCUCUGCCGAGUCUUGGGAGUUAACAACCCAGGACAGUAAUAGAUAAGCCUAUACCCUUGAGGCUGAGGGACCAUAACAAUGGUAUUCAGCAGUGGGAGGAAUUGGGAGAAAAUAGACUGAGCCCCGAUGAUCUGAGCCUUCUGAGCUUGCCAUUCGAUAUUUCUCAUAGGCUGAUGCCCUAAGACUUAACCUAACUCCUUUGGUCCUCUCUCGAACUGAAGAGAUGAAGCAUAUCCAUGGCCUUGGUUUAGGACGCUUUAUCAACAUCACUUCUGUUUUGAGCCACUUCUAACCCUGGGGAAAGCAAGUUGUCAAAUGAACAAAAACAACCUUGGCUUCUGCAAAUGUAGGCGGUAUUUAAGGUGUUUGGUACCUCCGCUGGGGCUCACUGCUGACUCCAUUCACCUUCCUGUGAACAUGUGUGAACAAGCCCUGCAGGUCGAUCCCAGCAAGCUGUUCACCAGCUGUGAAGGUGUGUGCCCGGCACCCUGGGACCCAGCCUUAUUCUCCAGGCCUUGCCUUCUCUUGGUGUCCCUGGUCCUGGGCCCGGCCCAGACGCCUGAUGGAAAAUCCUGUUACCUCCGCUGCUUCCUUCUUGCUGCCCACUGAGG
ensembl:lncRNA